AUCUGUCUCAAAUGUGGUGUCUGCUUCAGCCCUGCUGUCUCAGGCUGAAUUAUCAGAGCUGCAGAGGUGACCAGAGGGCUGGAUCAGCUUCCAGGCAGGGGACAGGGAGACACACAGAGACUCUUCUAGAACAGAGGACCUAACUGUUUUAAUGAGGGCUUGGACAACAGCAAUAAAAUUGGAGACAAUUCAGGAAUCCUGUUCCUGGUUGUAAGAGAGGAGCAGCUGCCACAUUUGAGUGAGCCCUUUGAAUCGCCAGGCAUCAGCUCAAGAAGUGGAGGAAUAAGGAAGGUACAGCUGUUCCCAAAUAUAUAGAAAUCUGCUGAAUUUUAUGAUCUUUGAUCACCUCAAAGAACCAUCUACACAAAAAUUUUACAGACCCCAUCUCUUAUGUGCACAAGUUUGUAUGCACAGGAGUGUGGAACCAGUGGCAAGUUCUGAGAUCUCACUGCUCUCUCAGUGCCACAGCAGCAGACAGCAGGAGGGACAGUGACAGUCAUCUCCAGGCCCCAAGAGAUUCAGAGCUGCCAGCACCCAUCAUGACCCUAGGAGAAGGUAAAAUCUUGUAACUGGGCUUUUUUUGGUUUUCAGCAAUUCCCUGUGCAGCUCCUGGGGUUCCCAUCUUGGUGUGUGCCAUCUGGGAGCAGCAAGAGCCAUGAGCUUCUGCAGCAUGAGAAAAAUAGCCCUGGGUAGGCUGGGAAAGCACCUGGAAAUAAAACAACAUCAUGCUCAUAGUAAAUAAUUCA
rnacentral:lncRNA from 1 species